rnacentral:rRNA from 1 species
UACAGAGGUCUCAAGCGUUGUUCGGAUUCAUUGGGCGUAAAGGGCGCGUAGGCGGUCAGCACAAGUCAGUUGUGAAAUCUCCGGGCUUAACUCGGAAAGGUCAACUGAUACUGUGCGACUAGAGUGCAGAAGGGGCAACUGGAAUUCUUGGUGUAGCGGUGAAAUGCGUAGAUAUCAAGAGGAACACCUGCGGCGAAGGCGGGUUGCUGGGCUGACACUGACGCUGAAGCGCGAAAGCCAGGGGAGCGAACGGG